UACGUAGGGUGCGAGCGUUAAUCGGAAUUACUGGGCGUAAAGUGUGCGCAGGCGGCGCCGCAAGUCGAGUGUGAAAGCCCCGGGCUUAACUUGGGAACUGCGCUCGAAACUAUGGUGCUGGAGUGUGGCAGAGGAAGGUGGAAUUCCACGUGUAGCGGUGAAAUGCGUAGAGAUGUGGAGGAACACCGAUGGCGAAGGCAGCCUUCUGGGCCAACACUGACGCUCAUGCACGAAAGCGUGGGGAGCAAACAGG
rnacentral:rRNA from 1 species